UUCUAAAGGAUGAGUUUUCUAUAUUUCAGCUCUCCUAACAAGGAAUUUCUGCUCCUUCAAGAUUACCUUUCUUGCUCUUAGUGCCUUUGGUUUUCCUUCUCCAUCUUGUUCCUGGCCUUUCCCUCCCUUGCCACUUUUCUGCUUUAUUUUGUUCUCCUUUUCUUUUACAAUUUGCACAUAUUAUUUUGGGGAUUAUUUCUCUCCUGCUACUUUUCUUCAGUUUUUUACUUAGCUUUCUUUCCUGUGUGCUUCCAUGUCUCAUGUGACUGGAAAACAAUCUGUGGGGAGCAGGGGGAGUUGGUUGUCAGUGUGCUAGCAUACCGUCCUUCCCAGAACUGUAACUGAACACAGCAGCUGUGGAUGGGAAAGAAGUGUCCAUUGUAUCCUCUAUGUAUCAGAUCUCAAAUCAAGCUAGAAAUGCAAACUGUUUCUGAACACUGUUUUUCUCAUUAGCAAGAUGUGCAUUGCAAUGCUUGACAUUGACAAGUUUGCUAGCAGAUAAGAAGACACCAGAAAGCAUCCUGUGAUUGUGGCAAAGGGAAGUAGCCACCUUCUUCACACUGACCUUCAAAUAAUUGGCAAUGGCUAUCAAUUUGCGUGGCACUUUUCAAAGGCAGCCCUUCAAGAUCAGAGACAGAAGGCAUUCCAAAACAGGAUGGUUAUGGUGCAACUUGAGCAGAUUCACAGAAAUACUCAGAUCAAACUGCUGGCUCUAAACCAGUUCUCAUUCAUAGGAGAGACAGGAGUCAGCUGCACAUCUGUUGCCACAGAACUCCUCUCAAUUCAAAUGAUAUAUGACUUGCUUCUGUCCUGGUAAGGGGGCAAAUAAACUCCUGUAUCUAAAGACUGUACACUUUCUGGGAAGGUCAGGGCAAAAGUGUGCCCAGAGCAUUAGCUGUCAUCAUUGAAACAAAAGUCAGGUUUCUGUAUCUAGUGAUCCCAGGGGUGGUGGAUUAAUCUUGGUUGGCCGCCAGGCACCCACCAAGCCACUCUUAUCACCCCUCCUCAGUGAGCAGUGCCAGCACUGCUUAGCAGUAGCCAGAAUGUCACUCUAGCUACCAAUACAAAACACAGCACUAUGAGGCCUGCUGUGGGGAAAGUUCACUGCAUCCCAGCCAGACCCAAUACACCUUAAAGUAACAUAAUGGUUGUUUUGUUUAUCCUGAAAUUUUAAAUGGCUUUUGAAUAUUCAGAUGGUUUAUCUGAAAACAGAAAAAAAGGGGGGGGUUGAUGAGUUUUUUGUGCUCCUAGUGAACAAUCUGUCCUCUUAAAUGCAGGAAAAAGUGAGUUAGAAUGG